rnacentral:rRNA from 1 species
AGCAGCCGCGGUAAUUCCAGCUCCAAUAGCGUAUAUUAAAGUUGUUGCAGUUAAAAAGCUCGUAGUUGAAUUUCGGGAUCAGUACGCCGGUCGUGCCUCCGGUAUGUACUGGUGUCACUGGUUCCUCCCUUCUGAAGAACCAUCAUGCUAUUAAUUUAGUGUGGUGGGAAAUCAGGACUGUUACUUUGAAAAAAAUUAGAGUGUUUAAAGCAGGCUCACGCUUGAAUACAUUAGCAUGGAAUAAUGAAAUAGGACGUUGAUCCUAUUUUGUUGGUUUCCAGGAUUGACGUAAUGAUUAAUAGGGAUAGUUGGGGGCAUUAGUAUUCAAUUGUCAGAGGUGAAAUUCUUGGAUUUAUUGAAGACUAACUACUGCGAAAGCAUUUGCCAAGGAUGUUUUCAUUAAUCAAGAACGAAAGUUAGGGGAUCGAAGACGAUCAGAUACCGUCGUAGUCUUAACCAUAAACUAUGCCGACUAGGGAUCGGAUGAUGUUAAUUUUUUAAUGACUCAUUCGGCGUCCG